AAACAAGGAACUGGCAAAUAUUAGA
rnacentral:piRNA from 1 species